GUGACCUUAGUGUUUUCUCUAAAUAGUUUAUUUGAUUUUAUUUAUUUUUGCCCAAUACAAAGAUGGCUGUCCCCGUUUUCCGUCCCACGUGGCUGGCAGGAUCGCUGCAACACGUGAAAAGAUCCACGAUCCUCCAUUUUUAAGAUUAUUUAUUGACCAGGAAACCUCAAGGAAAUUGGAAAAUGGCACCAAUUGCGUCUCGUGAAACACAGCGUGCGAUGUAAUAGUGUAAAUGUUUAUGCCAUAAUUGAUGUCAACUGCUGUUGAAAUAAAUUUCCCUCCUUUGUUUUGUUAA